UGGCACAUGCAGUGCUGAGAUGACCAACAACAACUCCCACCAGCAUGGAAAAUCAGAUGGAGGUAGAUUCCACACGUCUUUGUUACCCAAAUGUAAAAAGUUUCCUGAUUUGCCUGACGCCAGCAUGCUGAGGCAUCAAGAAAGACCGCUCUCUGAAAUUCCAUGGUUCAUUUUAGCAAUAACCAGAACCCAGUAAUCUGACUGAAGUCAGAUCACCGAUGAAGACACCAAGCCAAGUUCGUCAGUUGCAGCAAUGUAUUAUAUAACACUCUGUGCAUCCGGCAAACCUCAGAACUCAACUCUUCUCUCAGAAAACAGACAAGUUGAAAUCCACAUGAAAACAUAGAAAAUCACUGAAGUGUUCAUCUCUCAACUGUGAAAUCGUAAUUCUCCAUCACCCUCCAAAGCUUUAGUGAAAGUCAGCUCCAUGCAAACACAGAGCAAUCUGCCACUGCAGCUCAGCCAGACUGCACAAAUGUCCAGCUCCCUUUCACAACACUGCCUGGAAAUUAAGUGGCUGGAGAAGACGAGGAGGCAUAUUAAAGAGAAAAAAAAACGUGCAUUUCUCUAUAGGCUACCUGCUGGUAUGCUGCAAAACUAUGUUUCAGUGAAUGCCGGGCCUCUCUAAACAGGCUGAAGGAUCCGUGUUACCCUUUCUUAUUGAAUUUCAUAUUCAGACAGCCAUUUUGCGAUACAUAGCCAAUCCGUGAAAUAAGGGGUUGUUUCAAUCUUCAAUGGAAAAAGCCACAGGACAAUUAAGCUGUUGUAAAAUGCUGCUGUUAGCUGCACAGAUGCAUAAUCUAUCAAACAGCACCCAGUGCCUCUUGCCUAAAUCUGUUCAAAAUAAGAACUGGGAUGUUGGUCGUCUUGGUGAUACGAAAUUCUGACAACCUCUGAAUGAUUAUUCGUGAGCUUAAAUGAUUUUUGCAGGCAAUAAUUCAAAUGGGAAAACAGACCUACCCUAGCUAGGUUUAAAAAAAAAAUAAGAAAAGCAAAAAGCAAAGCAUCAACUGGUUUGCACAGAUAAGGAUCUCCAAGACAAUAGAUUACCAGGGCAAGCUAAGCAGAAGUUAUUCUAUAGCUCAUUAUCUAAGUCAUCUGGCCCUGACAGUAAAAGAAAACAUUUAAGGAAAAUUUCAGAAGCUCAUGUACCUGAGAUGCCCUGAAAACUCAUUGCACAGGGGAUUGAUUCUGCCCCAUCCUCAAUACAAGGAUUGGAGCAUCUGAAAGGGGCACCAGACAAAUCCUCAGAAUUCGCAGCUCCUAGCCACAAUUCUAAAGCAAUCAGAAACUUACAUAGGAAACCCGUACUCGCCGCCGAUGUCCCAACCCACAGCACUGCAUGAAGAGGAGAGCAGAAUGCAAUCAGCAUGAGGCUUCACCAACCUUCAGUAUGCCUUGUCUUCUCAUUUGAGCCACUGUCCAUCUCUUCCCUCCUUCCAGUCCCAGAGUCACCCUAAAUGCUCUCUCCCUGUCUCCAACCAAACCUGAGGACCCAGACUGAUGGCGAAUAACAAUAGGAAUAUUCCUGUCUGAAAGCUUUCCAGCAGAGCCACUUUGACUAGAAGGUCAUGGUUUUCUCAUCUGCCAAAUCAAGGGCUUGGUCUACACUGAGAGAUUCCUUCUAGCCCUAAAUUUUUGAUCCUACAUGAGACAAUCUGGAAAGACAGGAGAAUCAAGAUGGUGGUCAUAAAUAAGAAGAAGGUUCUCUUCAGAAAACUGGGAAUCAGAUGACACUAAAACUUCCAGCACCUGAGCCGCUAUGUCUGAGAUCAAUCCAUGAAUUAACCAACAGAGGUCUUUUGGAUAUUCAUUAGCGCCUGGCACUGUGCUAGCUCUUGUGGGGAACAUAAGAGAAGAAGAGGCUCUAGAAGUGAGAGCACUUUAAAGGAAGAUGAUACUUGAACUGGCCUCAAAGGACGGAUGGG